GAAUGUUGCACAAUGGGCGCAAGCCUGAUGCAGCAACCCCGCAUGAGGGAUGACGGCCUUCGGGUUGUAAACCUCUUUUAUCAGGGAAGAAGCGAAAGUGACGGUACCUGCAGAAAAAGCGCCGGCUAAAUACGUGCCAGCAGCCGCGAUAAUACGUAGGGCGCAAGCGUUAUCCGGAAUUAUUGGGGGUAAAGAGCUCGUAGGCGGUCUGUCGCGUCUGCUGUGAAAACCCGAGGCUCAACCUCGGGCCUGCAGUGGGUACGGGCAGACUAGAGUGCGGUAGGGGAGAUUGGAAUUCCUGGUGUAGCGGUGGAAUGAGCAGAUAUCAGGAGGAACACCGAUGGCGAAGGCAGAUCUCUGGGCCGUAACUGACGCUGAGGAGCGAAA
rnacentral:rRNA from 1 species